rnacentral:lncRNA from 1 species
GGACAUUUGCGCUUUAAAUUUUGAUUCACCUGUAUUAAUUUGACCGGACAUUUGCGCUUUUUACCUAUAGUCUACCUGUAAUUCUAUUCAGAAGUAAUCAUUACGUCAAUAAAUUUAAUUUAUAUUGAUACGACAAAUUGUCCAGAAUCCUUCCAUGCGAACUAUUAUAAUGAACAAUUGCUAUUUUUUUUAUAUCUUUUUGAAGAGUAUCAUUGAACAACAGUCGAUGAAUUACAUUAAGAUUUAUUACAUUGAUGAACAG